rnacentral:rRNA from 1 species
GAUGAACGCUGGCGGCGUGCUUAACACAUGCAAGUCGAACGGUGAAGCAGGAGCUUGCUCUUGUGGAUCAGUGGCGAACGGGUGAGUAACACGUGAGCAACCUGCCCCUGACUCUGGGAUAAGCGCUGGAAACGGCGUCUAAUACUGGAUAUGUGAUGUGACCGCAUGGUCUGCAUCUGGAAAGAAUUUCGGUUGGGGAUGGGCUCGCGGCCUACCAGCUUGUUGGUGAGGUAAUGGCUCACCAAGGCGUCGACGGGUAGCCGGCCUGAGAGGGGGGACGGCCACACGGGGACUGAGACACGGCCCAGACUCCUACGGGAGGCAGCAGGGGGGAAUAUUGCCCAAUGGGCGGAAGCCUGAUGCAGCAACGCCGCGUGGGGGAUGACGGCCUUCGGGUUGUAAACCUCUUUUAGCAGGGAAGAAGCGAAAGUGACGGUACCUGCAGAAAAAGCACCGGCUAACUACGUGCCAGCCGCCGCCGUAA